rnacentral:lncRNA from 1 species
UUUGAAUUCAAAAUUUGAUUUGAAUUCAAAUGUGCAAUUACUCAUCUUUAUCCUUUCUUUUGGAUAAGACGUUUGACGUUAUUAUAAAAGGAGGAGAAGAGUGGGGCAUGCAAGAAGAAGAUUUUUGGAGAAAAAUUUUGGGGUGUGAGAAGUCUUGUGCAUAAGAAGGAAGUCCAUAUCCUUCUAAGAGAAAAAGAAAAAUAAGAAAGAAAAGUGGGUGCAAGGUUUUCGAUGAGUUCCCUAGAGUUUUAGCCUGG